CCCUCGUCUUCUUCUACAAACUCAUGAACUACAGCCGUUAUAAUACUCCUGGAUUAAUUAGGUGGCAUGCAUCCCCCUGCAGAGUAGCUCAUGCCUCUCUGUCGUGCCGGCGUCGAGGCGAAGGAACGCGGAACGCCAGCGAGCAGAAAUCAGGGGAUGUAGCCGGCACGGCGGGCGGCGCGGCGAAGGCGGGUGUUCGGGCGCGGGCGGGAUGCGCAGGCGGGGCAGCGGCGGCGAGGUCCGGGUCGAGGACACGCCGCCGGAGACGGAGACGACGACCUGCUUCCUGCGCCUGAACCGGCACCCACCGGCUUCGGCAGGCCAUGGCGUGCUGGGGCUGUGCGGGCACACGGACACUGACUUCCUGACAAUCCUCCGGCAGGACUACCGCGUCGGCGGGCUGCUGCUGCUGCUGCGGGGCGGGCGGUGGCGGACGGUGAAGCCCAGCCCCGGGGCGCUCAUCGUUCGUCAACGUCGGCAACCUACUCCAGGCCUGGACCGACUAAGUGACCUCGGCCGGCUUGGACGUCUUGUAGAAGAAGACGAGUGAAUCAUGAAAAAAAACAGAAAAAGAUAAAGGGUCCAAAUGAAAAAGACGUGGCUAACGGGUCAGGUCGGGUAUUGGUUGACGUGGGGCCUGACAGGCGGGAUCCACUUGUAAGAAAAACUGUCAAAAUUGUGUAAGUAUUCGAGAUGAGACAAUUAGACGCAAGACCCGUCGUUUUAUCGACAAAUUAGCAAAAGUUGUGGUUUUGUGAGAAGAAAGCUCCAAUAAAUAUGGUUAUGUGAAA